CCUACGGGAGGCAGCAGUGGGGAAUAUUGCACAAUGGGGGGAACCCUGAUGCAGCGACGCCGCGUGAGUGAAGAAGUAUUUCGGUAUGUAAAGCUCUAUCAGCAGGGAAGAAAAUGACGGUACCUGACUAAGAAGCCCCGGCUAACUACGUGCCAGCAGCCGCGGUAAUACGUAGGGGGCAAGCGUUAUCCGGAUUUACUGGGUGUAAAGGGAGCGCAGACGGCUGUGCAAGUCUGGAGUGAAAGGCGGGGGCCCAACCCCCGGACUGCUCUGGAAACUGUAAAGCUGGAGUGCAGGAGAGGUAAGCGGAAUUCCUAGUGUAGCGGUGAAAUGCGUAGAUAUUAGGAGGAACACCAGUGGCGAAGGCGGCUUACUGGACUGCAACUGACGUUGAGGCUCGAAAGCGUGGGGAGCAAACAGGAUUAGAUACCCUUGUAG
rnacentral:rRNA from 1 species